rnacentral:rRNA from 1 species
AGAGUUUGAUCAUGGCUCAGAACGAACGUUGGCGGCGUGGAUUAGGCAUGCAAGUCGAACGAAUCCCAGUGGGGGUAACUCUGCUGGGGGAAGUGGCGAAAGGGGCAGUAAGGCGUGGGUAACCUACCUCUGGGACGGGGAUAGCCACUCUAACGAGUGGGUAAUACCCGGCGAGUUGAGUGGAAGGCAUCUUCUGCUCAGGAAAUGAAUUUCGCCUGGAGAGGGGCUCACGUGGUAUUAGCUUGUUGGCGGGGUAACGGCCCACCAAGGCCCAGAUGCCUAGCGGGUGUGAGAGCACGACCCGCGCCACUGGCACUGAGACACUGGCCAGACUCCUACGGGAGGCUGCAGUCGAGGAUCUUCGGCAAUGGGCGCAAGCCUGACCGAGCGACGCCGCGUGUGCGAUGAAGGCCUUCGGGUUGUAAAGCACUGUCGAGGGGGAGGAAAGUCCGCAAGGACCUGACCUAUCCCUGGAGGAAGGACGGGCUAAGUUCGUGCCAGCAGCCGCGGUAAGACGAACCGUCCAAACGUUGUUCGGAAUCACUGGGCUUAAAGGGCGCGUAGGCGGAUGCUCAAGUCGGUGGUGAAAUCUUUCGGCUCAACCGGAAAAGUGCCGCCGAUACUGGGGAUCUCGAGGGAGGUAGGGGUCGAGGGAACUUCCGGUGGAGCGGUGAAAUGCGUAGAUAUCGGAAGGAACGCCGGUGGCGAAAGCGCUCGACUGGACCUCUUCUGACGCUGAGGCGCGAAAGCCAGGGGAGCAAACGGGAUUAGAUACCCCCGUAGUCC